rnacentral:rRNA from 1 species
AACGUAGGAGACAAACGUUAUCCGGAGUUACUGGGCGUAAAGGGCGUGUAGGUGGUUUCGUAAGUCUGGCGUGAAAUUUUUCGGCUUAACCGGGAAAGGUCGUCGGAUACUGCGGGACUGGAGGACGGUAGAGGCGUGUGGAAUUCCGGGUGUAGUGGCGAAAUGCGUAGAGAUCCGGAGGAACACCAGUGGCGAAGGCGACACGCUGGGCCGUACCUGACACUGAUGCGCGACAGCAUGGGGAGCAAACGAGG